AGAAGGUCUUAAUGGUAAGGUAUGUCUUUUUGCUGAUGAUACAAAUAUAUGUAACAGGGUUGAUAUUCUAAAUGAUUUGGGAUAACUAGAAAAAUGGUCAGAGUUGUGGCAACUGACAUUUAAUGUGGAUAAGUGCAAGAUAAUGCAUUUUGGACGUAAAAAUAUUUGUUACAGUCUUAACCUCAACAUCUGAAAGGGGUAAUUAUUUUGGAUUACUUAAAGGUAGGCAGACAGUGUAAUAGAGCAGCAGGAAAUGCUAGCAGAAUGCUUGGUUGUAUAGGGAGAGGUAUUAGCAGUAGAAAGAGGGAAGUGCUCAUGCCAUUGUACAGAACACUGGUGAGACCUCACUUGGAGUAUUGUACACAGUACUGGAGACCAUAUCUUCAGAAGGAUAUUGAUACUUUAGAAAGCGUUCAGAGAAGGGCUACUAAACUGGUUCAUGGAUUGCAGGAUAAAAC